GCCUCCUCCCGAGAGCAGGCAUAAAGCACUACCUCUGUGUGCUGGAGACGUUGCUGAGUUCAGCUAGUUGGACAUUUCUAACCCAACAGAGGCUCCUCUGCUCAGGACAUGGAGCCGCACGAAAGACCCACACAGCACUGCCUCUGAAGAUUUCGUCUUUGGAGCAUCAACAAAAUUUAGUGUUUUCGAGCCUUUUCCUGUCGGUGGUUUAUUUUUAUUUCGCGUUCACUUUUGUUGAUAUUUCUGUAGAAUUGAAAAUUAUCAUUAUUUUAUUAUUGAAUUUAUUGUUG